UACGUAGGGUGCAAGCGUUGUCCGGAAUUACUGGGCGUAAAGCGCACGUAGGCGGUUAUUCAAGUCAGAGGUGAAAGCCCGGGGCUCAACCCCGGAACGGCCUUUGAAACUAGAUAGCUAGAAUCUUGGAGAGGUCAGUGGAAUUCCGAGUGUAGAGGUGAAAUUCGUAGAUAUUCGGAAGAACACCAGUGGCGAAGGCGACUGACUGGACAAGUAUUGACGCUGAGGUGCGAAAGCGUGGGGAGCAAACAGG
rnacentral:rRNA from 1 species